UACAGAGGGGGCAAGCGUUGUUCGGAAUUACUGGGCGUAAAGGGCGCGUAGGCGGCCUCUUAAGUCGAACGUGAAAUCCCCGGGCUCAACCCGGGAACUGCGUCCGAUACUGGGGGGCUUGAAUCCGGGAGAGGGAUGUGGAAUUCCCGGUGUAGUGGUGAAAUGCGUAGAUAUCGGGAGGAACACCAGUGGCGAAGGCGACUUUCUGGCCUGUUCUUGACGCUGAGGCGCGAAAGCUAGGGGAGCAAACGGG
rnacentral:rRNA from 1 species